rnacentral:tRNA from 1 species
GACGGCGUAGCUCAGUUGGAAGAGCAUUGGGCUAGUAUUCCAAAGGUCGUAGGUUCGAAUCCCACCGUGGCCG